CUACUGAGACUAAAUACUCUUGGAUAAGUGGACGUUACUCGCAGAAUAAGCACCCGGCUAACUCUGUGCCAGCAGCCGCGGUAAUACAGAGGGUGCGAGCGUUAAUCGGAUUUACUGGGCGUAAAGCGUGCGUAGGCGGCUUUUUAAGUCGGAUGUGAAAUCCCCCGAGCUUAACUUGGGAAUUGCAUUCGAUACUGGGAAGCUAGAGUAUGGGAGAGGAUGGUAGAAUUCCAGGUGUAGCGGUGAAAUGCGUAGAGAUCUGGAGGAAUACCGAUGGCGAAGGCAGCCAUCUGGCCUAAUACUGACGCUGAGGUACGAAAGCAUGGGGAGCAAACAGGAUUAGAUACCCUGGUAGUCCAUGCCGUAAACGAUGUCUACUAGCCGUUGGGGCCUUUGAGGCUUUAGUGGCGCAGCUAACGCGAUAAGUAGACCGCCUGGGGAGUACGGUCGCAAGACUAAAACUCAAAUGAAUUGACGGGGGCCCGCACAAGCGGUGGAGCAUGUGGUUUAAUUCGAUGCAACGCGAAGAACCUUACCUGGCCUUGACAUACUAGAAACUUUCCAGAGAUGGAUUGGUGCCUUCGGGAAUCUAGAUACAGGUGCUGCAUGGCUGUCGUCAGCUCGUGUCGUGAGAUGUUGGGUUAAGUCCCGCAACGAGCGCAACCCUUUUCCUUACUUGCCAGCAUUUCGGAUGGGAACUUUAAGGAUACUGCCAGUGACAAACUGGAGGAAGGCGGGGACGACGUCAAGUCAUCAUGGCCCUUACGGCCAGGGCUACACACGUGCUACAAUGGUCGGUACAAAGGGUUG
rnacentral:rRNA from 2 species